AAAAACCCUAAUUCCCCCAGUCCUCUGUAUCUUUGUCAGCUUGACGAAUUCUGAUUCUCCAUCAAACAAAACCCAAAACCCAAUUCUCAAAAUCAUUCAUUCCCUUAGUUUCUAUAAUCAUUUUCUGAAAUUUCUGAUUCUCCGUCCAAGAAAACAAAAACUCAUCUCGCAAAAUCUUUCUUUUUCAAGCCUUCUUCAUCAAUUUCUACUAUUCAUAAUGUUCUACUGUUCAUCUUCUCGACAAAUCUACUAUUGCGGGAGAUGAAUUCGGAAUCGGCGAGGGAGAGCUCGUGGAUCCCUUCAACGCUUGAUUCUUCUACCGUCCAAUCCCCCAAUAUGGAGCUCCCUACCUGAUGUGGCACCGGGAGUUGCGUAGGGUACAAGCCUCUGGCCACCGCAACCGCCACAAUCGAUGGCGACGGGCCUAAAUCAGGAUAUUUUGUGUUUGGGACUACGAAAUCGUUGCAUCAAUUUGUCCUUGCCGGCUUCUAGGUUCAGUUUUGGGCUUGUUUGCUUUGGUUUAGAUUUUGUCCGGUGGUCUCGUAACUUUCCGAUCUAGAUAUUAUGUGUUUUCUGCAUAUUUGUUGGGAUUUGUCCGAUGGUUUGGAUUAUGUGUUUUCUGCAUAUUUGUUUGGAUUUGUCCGGUGGUCAUUGCCGGUGGUUUACAGUAGAAUAAACGAGCUUUUUGUUGAGGUUUGUGGAGAAGAUGAACAGUAAAAUAUUUUGAUUAAUUGUAUUAUUUAGAAUUAAAAUAAUUAAAAGAAAGUAAAAGAGAUAAAGGAAAAGAAUAGAUUAUAAAAAAAUAAUGUGGUUUUGAUUGUAUAAAUAAUUUUAAUUUUUAUGUCAUUUGUUUAACUAAUUUUUGC
rnacentral:lncRNA from 1 species